UUGCGCAAGCGUGUCGGCAUGUGAGGAACCGUUCGACUACGUCGGCUCGUCUACUUCACGGAGUCGUUCUUCUUCCAAGAGGGAUCUCAGGCAAGAUGAUCAUUUCCCUAGAUACCAUUACUAUCAUUGUCAUGCUAGUUGUUUUGUUUCUAUCGGUAUGUCUCGCUGCCUACCACAUGUUAAAUAUCAGCCACCCAACAUUGGCACGAAAACCUUCAACCUUCUACAACCUAGCAAACCACUGAUUGGCUAUGUUACCACUUGCUUAACCAUCGGAUAGUGUUGCUAGUUGCAGGUGUAGUUGCUUCCAUGUGCAAACAUGAGUUCCUUGUUAUAUCACCAUAUUAUUGCUAAUUAAUUUAAUGCACCUAUAUACUUGGUAAAAGGUGGAAGGCUCAGACUUUCUAGCCUCGUGUUUUGUUCCACCUUUGCCGCCUUAGUUUCGGCUACCGUUGUUAUGUUCCAUAAAUGAGCGCUCCUAACAUGCUUGGGGUUAUUAUGGGGACCCCCUAGAUUGUCGUUUUUGGAUAAAAACUCGUCUGGCAAGGCCCAACAUUGGUACUAUACUUGCCCAACAUAAUAAUUCCGUUAAUAUUGAAAACAUAGGAUGUCAUGAACCCGAGGAGUAAUUCAACAUAAUAAAGGGAGGGCUAGUGCUGAUGGUGCUAGUCAAAAUCAGAGCCACUUGCGGGGCCACCCGAGGCAACUCAGGGUAUGUCUAUCUGGCCACCAUACGUAGUGCUCAUCCACCGUGUCCUGAGAACGAGAUACGCGGCUCCUAUCGGGAUCGUCGACACGCCGGGCGGCCUUGCUGGAAUUGUUUUACCUUUCUCGAGCGUCUUGUGCGUGGGAUUCCGAGGAUGCUUUGGGUUAUCUCGAGGUUGAGGUAUUCCAAUAGGAACCCGUGGAGCUCACGGGUUUCCCCUGAUCGAGGUCAUUCCGGCGCAGCGUGUGGUAAUUUGUGAUGGACUAGUCAAAGCACCCAGCAGGGUUAAAUCUUUCAGAAAGCCGUGCCCGCCGUUAUGUCGCAACUUGGAAACUUUGUUUAACAUCCGGUUCUAGAUAACUUGAAGUAAUAUUAAUCAAAAUAUGCCAAUUGAGUGCGUAACCGUCACUGUCUCUUUCGUGAGCUCCUUCUCCGAUUGAGGACACGGUGGGGUUAUGUCUGACAUAAGUAGGUGUUCAGGAUCAUUCAUUUGAUCAUCAAUAGUUCACGUCCGCUAUGCGUAGAUCAUCCCUGUGUUUUAUUCUUAUACUCGUAAGUUAGCCACCUCAAUAAAUGCUUAGUCGCUUGCUGCAGCCUCACCACUUAACCACACCUCGCCCAUUAAGCUUUGCUAGUCUUGAUACCUUCGGAAAUGAGAUUGCUGAGUCCCUGUGGCUCACAGAUUACUACAACACCAGUUGCAGGUACAGGUAAAGAGUUACAUUGACGCGAGCGCGUUGAUUGUUCAUUUGGAGUUUCUUGUUCUUCUUCUUUGAUCUAGGAUGGGUUCCAGGCUGGCAGCAUGGGAUAGCAAGGAUGGACGUUGUUCUUUUAUCGUUUGUUUUCUUCCAUAGUCGGACCGUGCUCUUCAUCAUGAUGAUUGUAUGUAUUGUACUGUAUGACUCUGAUGUAGCUUAUGGCGAGUGUAAGCCAACUCUGUAUACUCAUCUUUUCAGUACAUGUACUUGUAACGAUAUCCAUUCUUGCGAAACAACGAGAUGCGUUUCUAUCCCUG
rnacentral:lncRNA from 1 species